rnacentral:rRNA from 1 species
UGAAUACGAGAUGCUACGGCAUCGAAGCAGUCUAUGUCAUACUUCCAAGAAAAGCUUGCACUGUCAUAAACAAAUAAUGCCUGUACCAUAACCGACACAGGUGGGUAGGUAGAGUAUACUAAGGGGCGCGAGAUAACUCUCUCUAAGGAACUCGGCAAAAUGACUCCGUAACUUCGGGAGAAGGAGUGCCUUAUUUUAUAAGGUUGCAAUAACAAGAUCCAAGCAACUGUUUACCAAAAACACAGGUCUCCGCUAAGUCGUAAGACGAUGUAUGGGGGCUGACGCCUGCCCAGUGCCAGAAGGUUAAAGAAGUUGGUUAGCAUUAGCGAAGCUGAUAACUGGAGCCCUGGUGAACGGCGGCCGUAACGAUAACGGUCCUAAGGUAGCGAAAUUCCUUGUCGGGUAAGUUCCGACCCGCACGAAAGGCGUAAUGAUUUGGAUACUGUCUCGGAGAGGGGCUCGGUGAAAUAGACUUGUCUGUGAAGAUGCGGACUACCUGCACCAGGACAGAAAGACCCUAUGAAGCUUUACUGUAACUUGAGAUUGAAAUUGGACUUUAUUUGCGCAGUAUAGGUGGGAGACGUUGAAAAUAUUCUUGCGGGAAUAUUGGAGUCAUCAGUGAGAUACCACUCUUAUAAUGUUAGAUUUCUAACUUUGUAUCAUUAUCUGGUCAAAGAACAGUCUCAGGCGGGCAGUUUGACUGGGGCGGUCGCCUCCCAAACGGUAACGGAGGCGCACAAAGGUUUCCUCUGAACGUGUAGAAAUCGUAUCUAGAGUGUAAAGGCAUAAGGAAGCUUGACUGUGAGACCUACAAGUCGAGCAGGGACGAAAGUCGGUCUUAGUGAUCUGACGGUGCUGAGUGGAAAGGCCGUCACUCAACGGAUAAAAGUUACUCUAAGGAUAACAGGCUGAUCUCCCCCAAGAGUUCACAUCGACGGGGAGGUUUGGCACCUCGAUGUCGGCUCAUCGCAUCCUGGGGCGGUAGUACGUCCCAAGGGUUGGGCUGUUCGCCCAUGAAAGCGGUACGCGAGCUGGGUUCAGAACGUCGUGAGACAGUUCGGUCCAUAUCCGGUGUAGGCGUUAGAAUAUUGAGAGGAGCCUUCUUUAGUACGAGAGGACCGAGAAGGACAUACCUCUGGUGUACCAGUUAUCGUGCCAACGGUAAACGCUGGGUAGCUAUGUAUGGAGAGGAUAACCGCUGAAAGCAUCUAAGUGGGAAGCCCACCUCAAGAUAAGUAUUCUCAU